GAUGAACGCUGGCGGCGUGCCUAAUACAUGCAAGUCGAGCGAACGGACGAGAAGCUUGCUUCUCUGAUGUUAGCGGCGGACGGGUGAGUAACACGUGGAUAACCUACCUAUAAGACUGGGAUAACUUCGGGAAACCGGAGCUAAUACCGGAUAAUAUUUUGAACCGCAUGGUUCAAAAGUGAAAGACGGUCUUGCUGUCACUUAUAGAUGGAUCCGCGCUGCAUUAGCUAGUUGGUAAGGUAACGGCUUACCAAGGCAACGAUGCAUAGCCGACCUGAGAGGGUGGACGGCCACAUUGGGACUGAGACACGGCCCAGACUCCUACGGGAGGCAGCAGUGGGGAAUAUUGCACAAUGGGCGGAAGCCUGAUGCAGCGACGCCGCGUGGGGGAUGACGGCCUUCGGGUUGUAAACUCCUUUCACCAUCGACGAAGGGUUUCUGACGGUAGAUGGAGAAGAAGCACCGGCUAACUACGUG
rnacentral:rRNA from 1 species